GAAAUGCGAUAAUUAAUGUGAAUUGCAGAAUUCAGUGAAUCAUCGAGUCUUUGAACGCACAUUGCGCCCCCUGGUAUUCCGGGGGGCAUGCCUGUCCGAGCGUCAUUGCUGCCCUCAAGCACGGCUUGUGUGUUGGGCUUCCGUCCCUGGCAACGGGGACGGGCCCAAAAGGCAGUGGCGGCACCAUGUCUGGUCCUCGAGCGUAUGGGGCUUUGUCACCCGCUCCCGUAGGUCCAGCUGGCAGCUAGCCUCGCAACCAAUCUUUUUAACCAGGUUGACCUCGGAUCAGGUAGGGAUACCUGCUGAACUUAAGC
rnacentral:misc_RNA from 1 species